CAGAAAUAAGAUCACAUUGUGAAUAAAAGGAUGCAACUGUGACUCUUUCCCGUUUCCCUCUCUCUGCAACCAAACAAUGGAGAGAAUAAAGUUUUAAUCCUUCUCGUAUUGUUCUGGACACUCUCCACGCAUGCGAGGAGUUUGGCUGCACCAGCAAGUAGGCCUGAGGCAACUUCUCAACCUGUGAACAAUAGGAAGUCAGUCAAAGCUAAGGUAUGUGUGUGACCAAGUUUCCAUCACCGAAUUCUUUUUAGACCUUGAGAUUGUUCAGACUUAACUUGUCAUGUCCAAUCUGUCAUCAUGACUUUAUGGGAAAACCUGUGGCAUGUUUGUCAAGGUUCCACAGCAAAACAUCCCCAUAGCAUAAUGCUGCCACCUCCGUGCUUCAUAGUCGGUACGGUGUUCUUUGGAUUCCCCCCCCCCCCCCGUUUUGCCAAACGUACUGCUGGCUUCUUUCUUGCCCUGCAGCCUCGUAGUCCACUACGAUGCAAGACCUUCUGGACAGUGGACAGUGACACAUUUGUCUCUGUAGCUUCUAAUUCCUGGCAGAGGUGUUUCUUGGUCGUCUCAGGGUUAAUGUGCACCUUUCUAACCAAUGUGGGCUCAUCUUUGGCUGUCAGCUUGCGCUUUCUUCCUGACCUUGGUAAGGUUGCUGUUGUCCCUGGGUCCCUGUACUUCUGCUUUAUUGUCUGAACUGACGCCCGUGGCAUAUCAAGCUGCUUGAAAAUGGCUCUUAGUGAAGUACCAGACUGGUUCAAGUGGACAGGCGACUCUAUCAGAUCUUGAGAGUACUCCUUUGACUUCCCCAUGAUGGCGCGAAGCUGGCAAAUGACCUGAGCAGAAACCCAGUCCCUUUUAUACUGCUACAGUGGCGCCACCUGAGCUAUGACAUAAUCAUGAUGGUCAACAGGUAGUGGAGACAAGAUAAAAGCCAUUGCAUUGCCCACCUCAAGGCCAAACAACUAGUAGAUAAGGUAGGUGUAUGUAAACUUAUGACACUCUGAAAUAUGCAUUGUUCUCAAAUAGAGCUCAUAAAACAAUGAAAUUAAUGAAACAGAAGUAUGUUUUUUAGUUGAUGACGAGAUGUGAUGAUAAACUUCCUGUAAACUAUAUACUAUUCGUUCUGUAGUUGCCGAGAAAGAGACAGGGUUAUAUCAUCCUUUGAAUUGUAUGUAAACUUUCGAGCGCGACUGUACUCUCUAAUUUUUGCCUUGGCCUCCAGAAAUAAUAGUGUAUUUUCAAAUUCUUUCUUAUCAAACCUGAGUGUGUGUUAUUAUUGCACCACCAAUAUCCAAUUUGACAACGAGUACGCAUGUACCCCAAGGCUUGCAUGUACCCAAUGGUUUGGUUGUCUAAUUAUCUAAUUGUAAUUUCUAAUUCUAGUGUAAAAGUCAAUAGUUCCCUUUUUUGUCAUGGUAAUGUUGUGGGCAUUUUCUAUUCUUGGCUCACAUGGGUGAGCUUAUAUCCUUACGAUUUCAUCUUGUCCAGCAUUGUUGGCUUUGACUUUGUCUGUCGUUAAGCACUUUUAUCAUAUACCCUAAGUGCAGUGAUCUGGCAGACGUAUAUGAUAAAUAGAAAACUGCACGAGUGUCUGAUCCGAGUAUCCAGAUUGCACUCGAUGAUUUUCUACGCAGGGCGAGAGCUUUUCAAGCCGUAGAAAAUCAUCUCGUGCAAUCUGGAUACUCGGAUCAGACACUCGUGCGGUUUUCUUAUUGUACAUGUACAUGUAAGAAGCACUAUCAAUGGAAACACGUACCACUUUUUUCAGAAAAGAAAAGCCAGCAAGGGAAAAGCAAGCAAGGCGAAGGGAGACUAUUGCGCAGCUGAGAGAAUAGACAACUACGACCCCAAAAACAACACGUAUUACAUAAAGUGGCCAGGAUAUGAUGCGUCCCACAACUCAUGGGUGAAAGCGGAAGAUGUAACUUCUCCUCUCAUCUCUUCUUACAAAGAAAAAUUAGGUUCCGGAACGCACAAGAAGUGAUGCACCUCAUGUCUUUCGAUUGUUGAAAAAAUUGAUGUGAAUUUGUGCAAAUCCUCCCGCCUGUGUUUUUUUGUUCAGUGGAAUUCACGUAUUUCGGUAUUCCUUCUUCACCUCCACGCAUUAUUCAUUCUGACAUAAACUCACAUGAUCACUUUUGAUGAAAGAUUACAUAAUGGAUAAUAUUGAAUUGGCACAAAUAUAGUAACAAUGUAAACUUAUCAUAUCUUUCAAAGGUCUCAUUAAAAGUAAAUGUAAGUUACAUGUACAUGUACUGUGGAAUUAUUGUUUUUUCAGACAAUCUGUGGCUGUUGUAUACAUGUAUCAUUCAAUAAACGUGGUGUUUUUCAUAUUAUUAGAUA